rnacentral:rRNA from 1 species
UACGAGGGGGGCGCGCGUUGUUCGGAAUUAUUGGGCGUAAAGGGUGCGUAGGCGGUUUGGUAAGUCUGAUGUGAAAUCCCCGGGCUCAACCUGGGAAUGGCAUUGGAUACUGGCUCGCUAGAGUGCGGUAGAGGGUGGUGGAAUUCCCGGUGUAGCAGUGAAAUGCGUAGAGAUCGGGAGGAACAUCUGUGGCGAAGGCGGCCACCUGGACCAACACUGACACUGAGGCACGAAAGCGUGGGGAGCAAACAGG